AAAGGAUUCCAGAAGGAUGUGACCGCAUGUGUUCCCCCGGACCACGCAGCGGGUGCAGGGCGGCGUCGGACUCCGUCUUCUUGAUCACCUGCACCAGUUGCGCAUGCUCCGUGACCAGCUGCCGCAGAUCUGCCAUCUUUUGCAGGAGUUUCGGGAAGAGAAAGACGUCGUCGGGAUGGUUGCUCUGUGCUCGGUUUCAACAAUAUUUAAGGAGUGUGAUUGUGUUUGACUUCGGUUUUGUGGUAUAAAGCACCGUUACAGGUACCUUCCAACGUAAGUCAGCUGAAAAGAAGGUGGAGCCAGAAAUGAAUGGGAGGACGGAUACGGGAGGAUGCUGAGGAUGGAUACGGGAGGAUGCUGAGGAUGGAUACGGGAGGAUGCUGAGGACAUCUCUUGGACUAGCACAGACUGGCUACACAAUUUGCAGGGCCCAGUGCAAAAUGACAAUGUGGGGUCCCUUAUUCGAAAGUGCUUACGAAUUUCAAGACAGCGACAGAGCACUACACGUCAGCACAAGGCCCUCUAAGCAGGGGCGUUGUGAAGCUGGACACACGCCCAGGACGCUGGCCCUGGACUAUUUUUAUGUGGAACAUUCUCUCAUAAACGGAGACUUCAAUGGUAAGAAAUAUUUCAUUUCAUGUGUAUAAAAUUAUCGCCUGGAUUUUAAAAGGCAGGCCUCAUGAACAGGCAAAAUUAGAAACGCUCUGAAUUCAAAACAAGUGCUAACAUUUGAAAAAUCAUGUUUAUUACAGCCAAAGAGAUAUUAUAGGGUGACGCCCUUGAAAGUCUGCCAGCCUUCAUUGAGAAGCAUUCUUGAUUAGACUAUUUUAAAAAUCCAGAAGCUUAUGUUUAACUUGGGAAUAUUUUCUUUAUCCUCAAGCUUGACUAUGAAUAUAUCUGAUGUUACGGGUGGUCAUGUCCAAUCGGUGAAGCACGCUGUAAAGCUUUUAAACGGCACAAGGCAGAAAGAUGCCACUUGCCCCCAAAACCACUCCGCGCCAGGACCAGAAGUCUCCCCUGACUGAUAGGCAUUUCCCUCGCUCACGCCUGACACUGCUCUACGUGCGUUAAUGAUGUUAUAAGAAUUCAUCUCCAAAACACAUCAGAACAGCAUUUCCUAUGAAAAGUUCGGCAGCAGCAUCUUUUCGGAGAAAUUUAAUUGUGACUUAUUGGUAGAACUGCUUUGGAUGAAGUGAUCUAAUAAGCUCUUGGGUAGGUUUUACUACACACUUCUAGAUAUAGUACAAAAUAGUAUGUUUUUCAAGCUACUGACAAGUUAUAGGUAUAAUAUUUCAAUAUAACACAGCAGGCCAAACCCCACGGUGUGGUGUGAGGGGGCUGCCAUUCCAGGAUGCCGCCCCUCCCGGCAGCUCUGUCUCUGACCCAGCACAGAUGGAGCAGAGACUGUGGCCCCAAGCUGCGCGCUCCAAGCUCUGGGGUGCAUUAGGCUGGGCGGGGAGGUAGGAGGAGGGCCAUGCUUCAACAUACAGAGGAAAUGGGGUGGGAAGUGAACCCAGCUUGGAGCAAACAGUGCCGUCAAAGGCAGUGGCUGGCCCUGGACGCUCCCUUUCAAACUGGUACCCGCGAUGCUCUGCUUCGGAGGUGGGCAGAAGCAAGCAAUUGACUCUCAGCAACACCCCGAAUUCUGUUUUUCCUCUCCAGUGACGCCCAGUGCUGGACUAUGGGUCUAUCAUUUAUUUCCUUAAGACCAAAAGCCAGAUUCCUCUCCCAGAGUAACUGUGUGAUGGCCCUCAACGGUCCAGAUUUCAACUCUGGCCGCGGGUGAUGGGCUCCUGCUUAGAGUGCGUGGAUCUCAGUGGGGUGUGAGACGGAUACUCCAGGGAAAUCGACUUAAUAUUAAACGAGUGUUUGGUUCCGAGUCAAGAUGACUUUUAAGUUUGCUUUGCUUUGCAUUCUGAAAACCCAAGGGAGAUGGAGAAGAACUCAGCAAGAUCUAAAAGGAUUCCAAGAGAGCAAAAAUCGGGGUUGCUUUAAUUUGGGGCUAUACGAAUCAUUUCCAGGAUAGAAAUUCAAAGGUAAGAGAUUACUUUGCUUUUACCCUUGUGAUCUGGAAAGGGUUAGGGUGGAGUUUCUUGGAGCCUCUGGGGCCGCCCAGCAUGGGUGUGGCUUUAUGAUUUAACAAGAGUUUGCUUGAACCCUCCUAAAUUACCUCAGCCUAUUGAAUUGGAAAAUUCACGGCAGAAUGAAAAGACUCAGUAAAAAAGAGGUUUGGUUUGUUCAUGAAGGUAAGUAGCUUGUGAGAUGCUUUAUUUUCCUGUGACUGAAAAUUCCAGCUUGUAAUUCCCAAUAAAGAUGGCUUCAAGCUACUCAUUAGGACAAAUGAAACCUGUUUCACCACUCUCCCAGGAGAAAGGCAAAACGUCUUCAUUCGCCAGCCUUGGGCCAUCCCCCUCUUUGAAGGUAGCUCUGAGAUUAGGCCUGUAAUGGAGACAGAGGCUUAGCUAACUGUGGGGUGGGUACAGGGUGGAAUCAGGCAGGAGAGGCGAAGUGUAGGCGUCCACAAGGGGCGAUCUUAGUUGCUACCGAGAAGGUCCAGGACUGUCCCAAAAGACAAUAAAGUUUCUGUAAACAAAGGACCCUUUCUAAGCCCCGAGAUGUCAUUUCCUUCUCAUUGGAGAAAAAGAAGGUGGGCAGGGGGUAGGAAGGGGGAGGUCGGAGAGGAGAAGGUAGUUUUAGGGGGAAAGGAUGUGAGAGCACACUUUGAGAGGGAAGUGAAUAGUUUCAUUUUCUGGCAUUAAAAUAGGGAUUAAAACAAACUCACUUAAGAAGCAACCCUAGAAUCUGGUAAACUAUUAACCAGACUUUGAGUGCAUUAAUUACAGAGUCAUUAUAAGAACUUGGUUGCUAGGAGCUCUGAGGUGGAUCAAAUGGGAUGGGAGUUGCUGCUGGGCUACGUUUUAUAGUCUCUGAAGGAAAUGUUUCCAUUGCAUUGUCUCCCAUUUGCGCUGGGGAUAAAUAUGAUUUUCUCAGCAUUUAGGACAUACUUCCUCAAUCCUCCUCCUCGACUCUAGCUGACGUGUUGCCCAAGAAGCACUUCAGAUGAUAAUAACCAGCGACAAAGCCACCUACCGGAUUGUUGCUGGCCUUUCCCGCGAGGAUGACCCGGGCCUUAACCUUGUUCAUGUUGAAGUUCUUCAAGUAGGCCUCGUAAAUCCUCUUAGCGAGAGAUUUGAGAUCUGCGGUUUCAGAAUUUUUUUCUAGGUCAUGUUCACAUGUAAGGAUUUCUGCUUUCAAUUUUGCUUUUUCCGAUCUUGGCAUUCGUCCAAAACGAAUCGCUGGGGGUCGGAGAGGAGAAACGGAAGAACGGAAAACACAGAGAAAUGAACAACAAAACACGGCACGAGGACUAAUGGCUGGAUGAAAGGUUCACACCACGGGUUAGACUGUGAGCAAACAUGCAUGGUACGCGGGCCUCUCACUGCUGCGGCCUCUCCCGUUGCGGAGCACAGGUUCCAGACACGCAGGCUCAGCGGCCAUGGCUCACGGGCCCAGCCGCUCCGCGGCAUGUGGGAUCUUCCCAGACCAGGGCACGAACCCGUGUCCCCUGCAUCGGCAGGCGGACUCUCAACCACUGCGCCACCAGGGAAGCCCCUAUUGUCUUUUUUUAAAUGAACGAAAUGUAGAGAAACAGUUUAUCUAGAAAGUCUGAUGUAAUUGGGGCAAAUUGGAAAUUGGAAAUUUCAUUACAUGUAAAAUGAAAAACAAUAAAAUGAGGCAAAAGUCAAAGUAAUUUCAACACGUCCUCACCUGGCCUGGGAAGACACAAUCACAGUCUCCUGAAGAGUGACUCUGCCUUGCUAAGAUUUAUACAAAUGUGACUUUCUCUUCUGAGGACAGAUCCAUAUUUGUGACUAAAAAGUUCUAAGAAUUUUUGUAAGAGAAUAUUAACUCUCUAAAGGACAAAGAUUAUAUAAUAAAAGGAAGCCAGCUGGUUGUAAAUAAUUUUCUCUUUAUAAAAGUGUCUUAGGGACUUCUCUGGCAGCCCACUGGUUAGGCCUUAGCGCUUCCCCUGCAGGGGGCAUGGGUUCCGUCCCUGGUGGGGGAACUAAGAUCACGUGUGCCGCGUGCUAAGGCACAACCAAAACAAAACAAAAACAAAAACAAACAAAUAAAAAGAUCUUAAACUUUACUUUAGUAAAGAACCAACUUUACUAUUUAGUUCAUAAAAAAACAAAAGUAAACCAAGGUGACUAACCAUGGCCCUGCAGAAAAGGCCACUUUGCAAGUAGUUUUUUCAAGGUAUGUGGCUGGCCAAUUGUGAGGGUUUAUAUUUACACUGGCUCUUUCCUCUUUGCUUUCCGGUCAUCCUUCCGUAGUUCUGCUGGAGGACACGGCCUGACCCCCUGCACCGCGGGCUCUGGGUCACCUCUGGUUAGAGGUCCAGCUGAGCUGGCACAAGAAUAAGGAUAUACACGAGGGUGCUCGGGUGGACAGGCCCCCGGCGUGCAGGAAGGGGCUGCCGGGGAGGACACAGCCGCGGGGCUGGUCGUCGCCCAGCACGUGCUGCAGGAUCCUGACAUCUCUGACGGUCGUGAGAACCCUUGCCCUCCGUGACCUUCUGAUGAGGGUGGAGAGAGAAAGUGGACAAAACUCUCUGACCUCGCAUCCAGAUGAAGGGAGCAUCUUUAAUGUGGUUUAUUUUCUGUUAAAGAACACACCCUCUACGUCACUUACAAAGAACAGCCCAGCAACAUGCCAUAGACUUUCCAAAGAGAGAAAGGAAUGUGUUACGUGGGUCAGUUUCCGAUCUACAACUUGAGCAGAACUUUCUUAGUAGUGACAAACAUUUGUGUAUAAAAUAAAAGGAACCACACGUAGUCCCCGAAAGGCCCCCUUUCUCCCCAUCCAGGGUCCACCGUACCUUGCAGCCUUCACAUGCGUGAACUCCGUAAUGGUAGCCCGAGGCUUUGUCCCCACAGAUUCUACACUCGAUGUUCAGUGCUACACUGGAUGAUUCCUCGGCGCUGCCAGGAACCACAGGGUAAGAGAUGGACGAGGGACUCGAGGCUGGUGAGAGGGUGUCUAGGAACACAAGGGGAAGAUUUACGAAUAUUCACAGCCUCGCCAUCCGAUGUCGAAACCAGCUUUCUGAGGACCUGAGUUCACGUGUGAGGCAUUUAGUGGGGAGGCAUCAGCUGGUGGGCAGGGCUCCCAUGCUGCAUCCACCCUGGCCUGGCCCUUGCACACCCUCUGUGCUCCCACAGUGACCACAUCGCCGGCAUCCCCGCAGCACCCACCCAAGGGGCUCCCCAACUGAGAAACAACUUUACUUUUUAAUCCAUAAAAAACAAAACAAAAUGGACUAAACCAUGGCCCUGCAGAAAAGGCCACUUUGCAAGUAGCCUUGUUCACACAAACGGUUACAGCAGCUUUAUUCCUUUCUUUUUUGGGCGGAGGCGGGGGAUACUAUUUUAUUAACAUUUAAACGUCACCAACAAUGAGCUCAAGUAUA